GGGAGUGCAGCUCAGUGAUGGAGCAUUUGCUUAGCAUGCACAAGGCCCUGGGUUCAACCCCGAGCACUCCGA
rnacentral:tRNA from 1 species